GACAGAGGGUGCAAACGUUGUUCGGAAUUACUGGGCGUAAAGCGCGUGUAGGCUGCUCGGAAAGUCGGAUGUGAAAGCCCUGGGCUCAACCUAGGAAGUGCAUUCGAAACUUCUGAGCUGGAGUGCUGGAGAGGAAGGCGGAAUUCUCGGUGUAGAGGUGAAAUUCGUAGAUAUCGAGAGGAAUACCGGUGGCGAAGGCGGCCUUCUGGACAGUAACUGACGCUGAGACGCGAAAGCGUGGGGAGCAAACAGG
rnacentral:rRNA from 1 species